rnacentral:rRNA from 1 species
AGAAUGAACGUUGGCGGCGUGGAUUAGGCAUGCAAGUCGCACGGGCCGCAAGGCCAGUGGCGCAAGGGUGAGUAAGGCGACGGCAAUCAACCCCGGGGUUGGGCAUAGCCGCGGGAAACUGCGGGUAAUUCCCAGCGACGUCGGAGAGAGGCAUCUCUCCCCGACCAAAGUUCCGGCGCCCCGGGACGGGCCGUCGUGGUAUUAGGUUGUUGGCGGGGUAACGGCCCACCAAGCCGACGAUGCCUACCGGGCGUGCGAGCGUGGCCCGGCACACUGGGACUGAGACACUGCCCAGACUCCUACGGGAGGCUGCAGUCGAGAAUCUUCGGCAAUGGGCGCAAGCCUGACCGAGCGACGCCGCGUGGAGGACGAAGGCCUUCGGGUUGUAAACUCCUGUCGAGGGGGAAGAGGGGUGUCACAGCCCUUGACUGAUCCCUGGAGGAAGCACGGGCUAAGUUCGCGCCAGCAGCCGC